GGGAGUCAGAAGAAUGCAAAGUUGUUGGCAAGGGACCCGAGCAUUUAAAAAACAGAGAUAAACGGCACAAAAAAUAUAUCAAUGUCCACCUGGUGGUGCUGGUAUUUGGAUUAGCCACGUGAAUAGCUGACACAUAUGCUGAGACCUUGGCAAAGCAGGCCGCUGAAAAAUUCCACUCCAUUAUCAGCCAGAGCACAGAAAGAAGGAGUCAGGAAACAAUUACAGCUUCCUUUAAAAUAUCAGUUUGGGAACAUGAAGGUCAACAAGGGGGACAUUGGUGGCUUGCGGUGAACACCAUUGGGAGAACCGGCAUACUGGCAACACUGUAGGCCUCUUGUUUUCCAAGCUUUAGAGUUAUGAUAAAAUUGUGUUACACGUGG